rnacentral:sRNA from 1 species
UUCGCACAGCCAGCUUGUAUACAACGAUAUCAUUAUUUGGUGUCCUACUUCUACAUCUAAGUUCCGUGGUGCAUGGAUACUAGUACUAGUAGUUCUGAGCCAUCCGGACCCUGUGCCCUAGAGCAGCCAGGUUAGCUUUAUCUUCUCGUAUCCUAUCUACUAGUAGUCUUCAGCCCUUUGGCCCAGUGUAGGUCAGUUGUCAUGAUCUUUUUGGCAUAACUAAUACAGAAUAGAAAAUCCGUGCGCCAUAGUUGGGCUGCAACUCACAGAUAGCUUUCUUCUGUGCAGUAUCAGCCAGGGAUGGAUGACCCCGGGUA